rnacentral:rRNA from 1 species
GACGAACGCUGGCGGCGUGCUUAAUACAUGCAAGUCGAACGGAAAGGCCCUGCUUUUGUGGGGUGCUCGAGUGGCGAACGGGUGAGUAACACGUGAGUAACCUGCCCUUGACUUUGGGAUAACUUCAGGAAAUUGGGGCUAAUACCGGAUAGGAGCUCCUGCUGCAUGGUGGGGGUUGGAAAGCUUCGGCGGUUGGGGAUGGACUCGCGGCUUAUCAGCUUGUUGGCGGGGUAGUGGCUUACCACGGCUUUGACGGGUAGCCGGCCUGAGAGGGUGACCGGCCACAUUGGGACUUGAAUACGGCCCGGACUCCUACGGGAGGCAGCAGUGGGGAAUAUUGCACAAUGAACGGAAGCCUGAUGAAGCAACGCCGCGUGCGGGAUGGCUGCCUUCGGGUUGUAAGCCGCUUUCGCCUGUGACGAAGCGUGAGUGGCGGUAAUGGGUAAAGAAGCACCGGCUAACUACGUG